ACUUUUCUAGUAUCAACAUAGUAUAAGUGACUUCCAAUCACCCGGUCUUGGUUCAAAUCCAAGGAAAAGUA
rnacentral:tRNA from 1 species